ensembl:lncRNA
CGCGAGAGUAGGGCGUGGGAGUCACGUCGGUAGCGCGUUGCGUAAGGCGUGUGUUGGGGGGCGGAUUGGCUGCUCCUCUUUUAUGGCCCUUGCCCUAAUUAUCCCUGCUAAUUAAUCUCCUUGAUGAACAGGAGCCUGCGCACCAUCCUGACGAGCACUAGCACAUGCUUUAUUGAUUAGACACUGCCUGAGCCCGGCACACACGUUGGCUAAGUGCAGCUCCACAAAGACCAGCCCCACGCCAAUGAAAGGGGCCACCGAAGCAUUAAAAUCCCACGGUUGCUGUAAAGGAAGCAGCCCCAGGACAUAAAAUUCUGGAUGCUACAGCACAUGGCAAAUGCCCAACUGCACCUAUACCAAGAAAGUCACUGUGUAAUUAUGAGAACUGGGCAUAACCUUUGUGCGGUUUAAAAAGUACUGAACAUGCCAAGAAGCAACAACGGAUUGUCUUCAGGAAACAGUAUAAAUGAGUGGUGAAGGCACUCCUGACAUCAUGGCGUGGGUGUAAGGAGGAGAGCAAAGCAGAAUUUGGGGAAUCCUUUCCACUAUUAGAGGGAAUUUCUCCAAGCUGUAUCUUUUUACCAGGUGCUGAUGGCUGCAGCAGAGAGCCCGGAGCUGAGCAGAAAAUGCGAACGGGUCAUUGCAUCAACAGCUGGAAAAAGGCAGUGGCUGUGAACAUAUUAGGUUUCCUGCUAGGAGCUCGGUGCUUGCCAGAGGAGAAAGGGAGCCUCGUGUCCCUGCUAUGUCGGGUGCAGGAAAUGAAGUACAGAAAGAAGUGAUUUAGUGGUGAUCACAGGGCAGGGCGUGGAUGGAAAUAGGGAUGCCCUGAUUCACUGAGCUCCUCUCUACUGCUGAAGCAUGCUGCUGGAUCCCACAACCCCGCAGUGAACCCUGGAGGAUUACAUGGAGCUUUGUCACUAAUCUCUCUGUCUGGGCUCCACGGAUCUCCUUGAGCCGUCUUUCUGUGGGCCCAAACAUGUACAUGGAGCAAAACUUCCAGCAUCCUGGCUCCUACCACACCUGCAGCCCCUGCUCCGGGCUGUGUUUGCCCUCUGCCUGUGAUGGGAAGAGCAGGGCAUCGAUUGCAGCAUGCAGGUGAAAAUGGAUUGCGACCUGCUGCCUGCCACACUAACACAGCUGAUUAGCACCGGUGCGUGUCUCUGCCAGGAUGGAUCUUGCAGGUGAGAACGUUCCGAGAGCAGCUGAGGCCCUGCAGUCACCAUCCGCUCGCCGCUGGCUCGGUCUGCUCACUGCUUUGCAGCCAGGACACCGGCAGUGCUUCUUCUCCACUUUUCCUAUUCCUGGAGCCUCCUUGUCAGCCCCGUGCGCCCUCACGCUGGCUGCCCACAGUGCUGGCACUUGCAGGCUGUUACUGCAAAAGCUCAGCUCUGCAGAGCCAGGCUGGCAGUCCCAAGAAGACGUCUGGUCCUGAGCGGGGUCACCCAUCCCUGCAUGGCUCUGCGGGGUCCGGCGGCAUCAUCCCAUCAUCCGCUUCAUAACCGUUGCUAAUUGGAAAAUGAAACCAUAAGAAGAAAAUCUGCUUCAAGUUAUUGCAUGGGCUUUUGUCCCCCACCGAGGAGGCACAAAUCAAGGAAUCAGAAUGUUUAACAAAACAAACAGAGAUUUCUUUGGUAUUGUGGGAGAUUUAUAGGCUGCGGCAUCCAGAGAAGCCUCCUCCCGCUCCGUCCUUCUGCUUGAAUUCCUGCUGGUCACUGACUUAUUACUUUUCUUACUGCUUCCCCUGCUUUAAAAGUGGGGAAAGCACAAUCAAAUUAUCAUAAUACUCAUUUGGUUAAUUGCCCAUUUAGUUACUUAUUGAGUUCAUUAAAAAGACAGUGUCAGUUAGGAGGAAAUGCAGAGAGGUGGG